AGAGUUUGAUUCUGGCUCAGAUUGAACGCUGGCGGCGUGCCUAACACAUGCAAGUCGAACGCGAAAGUCUCUUCGGAGACGAGUAGAGUGGCGCACGGGUGAGUAACGCGUGGAUAAUCUACCUAUUGGUACGGGACAACAGUUGGAAACGACUGCUAAUACCGUAUAAGCUGGAAACGGGAAAGGGGGCCUCUUCUUGAAAGCUCUCGCCAGUAGAUGAGUCCGCGUUUCAUUAGCUAGACGGUGGGGUAACGGCCUACCGUGGCAACGAUGAAUAGCAGGCCUGAGAGGGUGGCCUGCCACACUGGGACUGGAACACGGCCCAGACUCCUACGGGAGGCAGCAGUGGGGAAUAUUGCGCAAUGGACGAAAGUCUGACGCAGCGACGCCGCGUGGAGGAUGAAGGUUUUCGGAUCGUAAACUCCUGUCAAGAGGGAAGAAACCUAUUGAGAAUAAUACUCUCAGUAAUUGACGGUACCUCUAGAGGAAGCACCGGCUAAUUCAGUGCCAGCAGCCGCGGUAAUACUGAAGGUGCAAGCGUUAAUCGGAAUCACUGGGCGUAAAGCGCUCGUAGGUGGCUUUGUAAGUCAGAUGUGAAAGCCCACGGCUCAACCGUGGAAUUGCAUUUGAUACUGCAUCGCUAGAGUAUAGGAGAGGGAAGUGGAAUUUCUGGUGUAGGAGUGAAAUCCGUAGAGAUCAGAAGGAACACCGGUGGCGAAGGCGACUUCCUGGACUAUUACUGACACUGAGGAGCGA
rnacentral:rRNA from 1 species